GAUGAUGCCCAGCUUGCUGGGUGGAUUAGUGGCGAACGGGUGAGUAACACGUGAGUAACCUGCCCCUGACUCUGGGAUAAGCGUUGGAAACGACGUCUAAUACUGGAUAUGAUUACCGGCCGCAUGGUCUGGUGGUGGAAAGAUUUUUUGGUUGGGGAUGGACUCGCGGCCUAUCAGCUUGUUGGUGAGGUAAUGGCUCACCAAGGCGACGACGGGUAGCCGGCCUGAGAGGGUGACCGGCCACACUGGGACUGAGACACGGCCCAGACUCCUACGGGAGGCAGCAGUGGGGAAUAUUGCACAAUGGGCGAAAGCCUGAUGCAGCAACGCCGCGUGAGGGAUGACGGCCUUCGGGUUGUAAACCUCUUUUAGUAGGGAAGAAGCGAAAGUGACGGUACCUGCAGAAAAAGCACCGGCUAACUACGUGCCAGCAGCCGCGGUAAUACGUAGGGUGCAAGCGUUGUCCGGAAUUAUUGGGCGUAAAGAGCUCGUAGGCGGUUUGUCGCGUCUGCUGUGAAAUCCCGAGGCUCAACCUCGGGCUUGCAGUGGGUACGGGCAGACUAGAGUGCGGUAGGGGAGAUUGGAAUUCCUGGUGUAGCGGUGGAAUGCGCAGAUAUCAGGAGGAACACCGAUGGCGAAGGCAGAUCUCUGGGCCGUAACUGACGCUGAGGAGCGAAAGCGUGGGGAGCGAACAGGAUUAGAUACCCUGGUAGUCCACGCCGUAAACGUUGGGCGCUAGAUGUAGGGACCUUUCCACGGUUUCUGUGUCGUAGCUAACGCAUUAAGCGCCC
rnacentral:rRNA from 1 species